AUCGAACGCUGGCGGCAGGCCUAACACAUGCAAGUCGAACGGUAACAGGAAGACGCUUUCUUCGUUGCUGACGAGUGGAGGACGGGUGGGGAAUGUCUGGGAAACUGCCUGAUGGAGGGGGAUAACUACUGGAAACGGUAGCUAAUACCGCAUAAUGUCGCAAGACCAAAGAGGGGGACCUGCGGGCCUCUUGCCAUCGGAUGUGCCCAGAUGUGAUUAGCUAGUAGGUGGGGUAACGGCUCACCUAGGCCACGAUCCCCAGCUGGUGUGAGAGGAUGACCAGGCACAGUGGAACUGAGACACGGUCCAGACUCCGACGGGAAGCAGCAGUGGGGAAUAUUGCACAAUGGGCGCAAGCCUGAUGCAGCUAUGCCGCGUGUAUGAAGAAGGCCUUCGGGUUGUAAAGUACUUUCAGCGGGGAGGAAGGGAGUGAAGUUAAUACCUUUGCUCAUUGACGGUACCCGCAGAAGAAGCACCGGCUAACUCCGUG
rnacentral:rRNA from 1 species